AGGGGAGUAGCUCAAUUGGUAGAGCAACGGUCUCCAAAACCGUAGGUUGCGGGUUCGAUCCCUGUCUCCCCUGCCA
rnacentral:tRNA from 1 species